rnacentral:rRNA from 1 species
UACGAGGGGGGCAAGCGUUAUUCAAUAUAACUAGGCGUAAAGCGUCUGUAGGCGGCAAGUUUCGUUAUCAUAAAAAAUUAAAGCCCAACUUUAAAACAUUGAUAAAACGUGCUUUGCUAGAGUCAUGGAGAGGGUAGUAGAAUUUCUGGUGUAGCGGUGAAAUGCGCAGAUAUCAGGAGGAACACCAAUGGCGAAGGCAGCUCGCUGGAACGGUACUGACGCUGAGGCGCGAAAGCGUGGGGAGCGAACAGG